rnacentral:lncRNA from 1 species
AGUGUCAGAGCCUUUACGUGGACCUUCCCAUGGAAAAGGAAACAGAAUAGUCAAUGGAAAAGGAGAAGGGCCUCCUGCAAAACAUCCUUCCUUGAAGCCUAGCACUGAAAUGGAAGAUCCUGCUGUGAAAGGAGCAGUACAAAAAAGAAUGUACAGACAUUGAGAGCAGUGUUGAUUUACCCAAUACUAAUGGGAACCAUUGAGCAUUUGCCUUGUGGUGUCUCCUCAGCUGUAUUCACACAUUCCAUCACCUUGUCUUAAUGGAUAAUCAUGCACUAACAAGCCUUACCAGUGGCUUCAGAGGAAGAACAGCAAAGGCGUGAAAGAAGUGAAAAGAAGCAACCACAGCUAAUUUUAGAACAUGCAUUCUGACAGAAAAGACAUCUGAGAAACAAAACAAGCAAAUUUGUUUUCCAUUUUGCACCUGCCAAA